UCUCAAAAAAAGGAGUCUUGGAAGCCCUGCGGGCAGUCGCCUUUAACAGAGAUCAGAAGAAAUUAGUUAAAGGCACGGCUGACAAAUUGAAGACGUGGGCUAUCAAACUCUUGGCGUCGUCAAAGAGCAACAACAGU